UCGAUUCCAUUUUCUUCCUUCAGAAUUGAUAUCAACUUGUGAUUUCUUGUUAUCUAUUGGUAGUGAUUUCAAUCUUGAUGUUUAGGUCAAAAUCGAAGUGGCGACUAUUAAAGGAGUAGGGAUCUUGUGGAGAGGUGCCUAAUAGUUGUGCUUCUGCUCUUAUGGAGGAGGCUAGAGGUAUUUGGUCCGACUUUCUUGUUACUGUUCUCUAUGAAGAGUAACGAAAGUGUAAAAGAGGUGAAUUUCAUAUAAUUUAUUGUGCUGCUUAAUUAUUGAGAGUUCAAGAGUUAAAUGACAUCCAUGGAGAUCUCCGUUAGUUUCAUCUUUAGAUUAUUAUACUACAUCAGUGGACUAGAUGCAGUCAUAAACAACAUUAUGAAAAUGCUAAAUGAGCUUAUUCAAAGUUCAAAAGUUAAUUUUGUUAUGCCUGCUAUCGAUGCUCUUGAUGGACUCAAUCAUCUUGGAUUUUUUGUCUCAAGUAACUUAUAUUUUCUCAAAGAUCAUGAUGAAAUUGCCAGGGUGCACUUUUUAAUAGCACUUGGUAAACCGGUAUCUUCCAACCCUUAGACUUCCCUCUUUCCUCAACCCCUAUUCCCAAAUCAAUUUUCUGCCUAAAAGAUGAAAGGGACAAUGGUUUGGUAUGGUUUUGACAGGUGAAAAAUGGGCAUGAUGGCUUCCUUGCAGUUCAGAGUGGAAUUGCCUACCUCAAAAGGAUUCUGCACAUCUUCCCUAACUGUAGUUUGAUAAGAUGGGAGUCUCUUCUGCAUAUGGGAAGGAGAAUAAUUGUUGUUGGUGAUCUCAACAUUGCGCCAUCUGCAAUUGAUCGAUGUGAUGCAGGACCUGAGUUUGACAAUAAUGAGUUUAGAAGAUGGUUCAGAUCAAUAUUGACACAGUAUAAACGGGCUAAACCUGAAAGCAUACUAAGUGCACAUAGGUGGAAAGGAGGACAGAGCAUUAAGCUAGAAGGAUCUGAUCAUGCCCCAAUUUUAAUGACUUUAGUUGAUAUUCCUGAUGUCUCUUUACAUUGUACUCCCUCUUUAUCUUCUAGAUAUGUUCCCAUGGUUUAUGGCUUACAGCAAACUAUAGGUAUAAAACAUGAAUGAUAUUUAAAUAAUAAAAUAAGAAUUUAAUGUUUUGUUGUUUCUGAGCUUUUUUUUCCAAUGUCAGUUUUGAUGAAAAACAAGUUUCUGAGGGCAUCGAAGAAUCAGUCAAGAUCUGUGACCAAGGCUCCUACUAUGAAGGGGAUCCACACAACAGAAGAUAGAAGAGGAAUUGGGGGUUAAGAUAAUAAUACCUACUUCAAAAGAAGAUGAUUUUGUUAGAAGCCAUAGAAUAGACAUAAAGGGGCCAACAAAAUGAGAUUGAGAACGUGCAAUGGAGUGGGGUGGUAGGCAUAAUAUAGCUGGAGUGAAACGAAAGAGAGGUACCACCAACCAUGAUUUUUCUUUUCUUUUUCCAAUUCACUGUUUCCUUCCAAAACACUAAGGA